rnacentral:rRNA from 1 species
AAGACCUUGCGCUUUUGGAGCGGCCGAUGCCUGAUUAGCUUGUUGGUAAGGUAAAAGCUUACCAAGGCUUCGAUCAGUAGCUGGUCUGAGAGGACGACCAGCCACACUGGGACUGAGACACGGCCCAGACUCCUACGGGAGGCAGCAGUGGGGAAUUUUGGACAAUGGGGGCAACCCUGAUCCAGCCAUGCCGCGUGAGUGAAGAAGGCCUUCGGGUUGUAAAGCUCUUCCAGCCGGAACGAAACGGUUACGGAUAACACCGUGACUACUGACGGUACCGGAAGAAGAAGCACCGGCUAACUACGUGCCAGCAGCCGCGGUAAUACGUAGGGUGCGAGCGUUAAUCGGAAUUAUUGGGCGUAAAGCGUGCGCAGGUGGUUUUGUAAGUCAGAUGUGAAAGCCCCGGGCUCAACCUGGGAACU